UUAGUGGAAGCGUCUGGAAAGGCGCGCGAUACAGGGUGACAGCCCCGUACACAAAAGCGCAUGUGCUGUGAGCUCGAUGAGUAGGGCGGGACACGUGGUAUCCUGUCUGAAUAUGGGGGGACCAUCCUCCAAGGCUAAAUACUCCUGACUGACCGAUAGUGAACCAGUACCGUGAGGGAAAGGCGAAAAGAACCCCGGCGAGGGGAGUGAAAAAGAACCUGAAACCGUGUACGUACAAGCAGUGGGAGCACCCUUUGGGGUGUGACUGCGUACCUUUUGUAUAAUGGGUCAGCGACUUAUAUUCUGUAGCAAGGUUAACCGAAUAGGGGAGCCGGAGGGAAACCGAGUCUUAAUUGGGCGUUAAGUUGCAGGGUAUAGACCCGAAACCCGGUGAUCUAGCCAUGGGCAGGUUGAAGGUUGGGUAACACUAACUGGAGGACCGAACCGACUAAUGUUGAAAAAUUAGCGGAUGACCUGUGGCUGGGGGUGAAAGGCCAAUCAAACCGGGAGAUAGCUGGUUCUCCCCGAAAGCUAUUUAGGUAGCGCCUCGUGAAUUCAUCUCCGGGGGUAGAGCACUGUUUCGGCUAGGGGGCCAUCCCGGCUUACCAACCCGAUGCAAACUGCGAAUACCGGAGAAUGUUAUCACGGGAGACACACGGCGGGUGCUAACGUCCGUCGUGAAGAGGGAAACAACCCAGACCGCCAGCUAAGGUCCCAAAGUCAUGGUUAAGUGGGAAACGAUGUGGGAAGGCCCAGACAGCCAGGAUGUUGGCUUAGAAGCAGCCAUCAUUUAAAGAAAGCGUAAUAGCUCACUGGUCGAGUCGGCCUGCGCGGAAGAUGUAACGGGGCUAAACCAUGCACCGAAGCUGCGGCAGCGACGCUGAUGCGUUGUUGGGUAGGGGAGCGUUCUGUAAGCCUGCGAAGGUGGCCUGUGAGGGUUGCUGGAGGUAUCAGAAGUGCGAAUGCUGACAUAAGUAACGAUAAAGCGGGUGAAAAGCCCGCUCGCCGGAAGACCAAGGGUUCCUGUCCAACGUUAAUCGGGGCAGGGUGAGUCGACCCCUAAGGCGAGGCCGAAAGGCGUAGUCGAUGGGAAACGGGUUAAUAUUCCCGUACUUGGUGUUACUGCGAAGGGGGGACGGAGAAGGCUAUGUUGGCCGGGCGACGGUUGUCCCGGUUUAAGCGUGUAGGUGUGUGUUCCAGGUAAAUCCGGUUCACUUUAACACUGAGGCGUGAUGACGAGGCACUACGGUGCUGAAGCAACAAAUGCCCUGCUUCCAGGAAAAGCCUCUAAGCAUCAGGUAACAUCAAAUCGUACCCCAAACCGACACAGGUGGUCAGGUAGAGAAUACCAAGGCGCUUGAGAGAACUCGGGUGAAGGAACUAGGCAAAAUGGUGCCGUAACUUCGGGAGAAGGCACGCUGACACGUAGGUGAAGUGAUUUACUCAUGGAGCUGAAGUCAGUCGAAGAUACCAGCUGGCUGCAACUGUUUAUUAAAAACACAGCACUGUGCAAACACGAAAGUGGACGUAUACGGUGUGACGCCUGCCCGGUGCCGGAAGGUUAAUUGAUGGGGUCAGCGCAAGCGAAGCUCCUGAUCGAAGCCCCGGUAAACGGCGGCCGUAACUAUAACGGUCCUAAGGUAGCGAAAUUCCUUGUCGGGUAAGUUCCGACCUGCACGAAUGGCGUAAUGAUGGCCAGGCUGUCUCCACCCGAGACUCAGUGAAAUUGAACUCGCUGUGAAGAUGCAGUGUACCCGCGGCAAGACGGAAAGACCCCGUGAACCUUUACUAUAGCUUGACACUGAACAUUGAGCCUUGAUGUGUAGGAUAGGUGGGAGGCUUUGAAGUGUGGACGCCAGUCUGCAUGGAGCCGGCCUUGAAAUACCACCCUUUAAUGUUUGAUGUUCUAACGUGGACCCGUGAUCCGGGUUGCGGACAGUGUCUGGUGGGUAGUUUGACUGGGGCGGUCUCCUCCUAAAGAGUAACGGAGGAGCACGAAGGUUGGCUAAUCCUGGUCGGACAUCAGGAGGUUAGUGCAAUGGCAUAAGCCAGCUUGACUGCGAGCGUGACGGCGCGAGCAGGUGCGAAAGCAGGUCAUAGUGAUCCGGUGGUUCUGAAUGGAAGGGCCAUCGCUCAACGGAUAAAAGGUACUCCGGGGAUAACAGGCUGAUACCGCCCAAGAGUUCAUAUCGACGGCGGUGUUUGGCACCUCGAUGUCGGCUCAUCACAUCCUGGGGCUGAAGUAGGUCCCAAGGGUAUGGCUGUUCGCCAUUUAAAGUGGUACGCGAGCUGGGUUUAGAACGUCGUGAGACAGUUCGGUCCCUAUCUGCCGUGGGCGCUGGAGAACUGAGGGGGGCUGCUCCUAGUACGAGAGGACCGGAGUGGACGCAUCACUGGUGUUCGGGUUGUCAUGCCAAUGGCACUGCCCGGUAGCUAAAUGCGGAAGAGAUAAGUGCUGAAAGCAUCUAAGCACGAAACUUGCCCCGAGAUGAGUUCUCCCUGAGACUUAGAGUCUCCUGAAGGAACGUUGAAGACGACGACGUUGAUAGGCCGGGUGUGUAAGCGCAGCGAUGCGUUGAGCUAACCGGUACUAAUGAACCGUGAGGCUUAACCUUACAACGCCGAAG
rnacentral:rRNA from 1 species